CAGUCGCCACGGUAAUACGAAGGGGCUAGCGUUGCUCGGAAUGACUGGGCGUAAAGGGCGCGUAGGCGGCGAUCAAAGUCAGGCGUGAAAUUCCUGGGCUCAACCUGGGGGCUGCGUUUGAUACUUGAUUGCUAGAGUGGGGAAGAGGGUCGUGGAAUUCCCAGUGUAGAGGUGAAAUUCGUAGAUAUUGGGAAGAACACCGGUGGCGAAGGCGGCUCACUGGCUCGAUACUGACGCUGAGGUGCGAAAGCGUGGGGAGCAAACAGGAUUAGAUACCCGAGUAGUCCCUGUCUCUUAUACC
rnacentral:rRNA from 1 species